rnacentral:tRNA from 1 species
UAGGUUUUAGUUUAUUAAGAAUUCUUGACUGUUAAUCGAGAGGAAGCAUUAAAGCUAAACUUAG